CUUUGUCAGCACAUAUGUAUUUCGUCUUCUCGUACACGAGGUAAAAAGGGCUAAUUUACCUUAAUUUCUGACAAAAGGACAUGAAUGCUGAAGUGUUUUCAAGGUGCCCAGUAGAGACUUCUGCACUACCUGGAGGCCCAGGCUCUCCUCGCUCACCUGAAAGAGAAGCAAUAGAGACCUAGGUUUUAUGACAAAGUCUUAGUGGCUUGGACGACACGCGGUUGUAAAGUUGUUGUGGUGAUGGAAGGCAAUAGAGCGGUUUAAAGUCACUGUUGGAGGUAUGCGCAGAUACAAUUCUUGAAUGGAAAUGGCUAGGAUCUUUUAUUAUUAAGGGUAAGCAAGGGGGAAGUAUUAA